GAGAGUCGUUGUGGGCCCCUGACUCGGGCUGCUGGGUCACUGGCCAAAAGACCCAGACACAGCCUCUCACCACGGGGGAACGUUCUGCUUUUACGCCCGGCGGCCACGCUUCGCACACGGCACCUCUCAGAGGAAAAUUGUGGAGAGAUUCCGUCGAUAAUCGACAAUACACGGACGCUGUUUUGUAAAAAAUUCAAAAUAAAACGGAUUGACGUUGUUCAUGCUAUACAUUACCAUCAAGAAUUGUAGUGAAAUGGCAGUGUUUUGGAAGGUGAAGUCGUGGACAAUGUUUUGGAUGGAUAGCCUGCCACGCUGCCUCUGUGACAGUUAGUUGUGGUCACAGCACAAGAAGAUGAGAGGCUUCAUUGAGUUUUGUGUCAUCUAAAGGCCAUUCAGCCCUGUGACUGAUGAAGUCCCCCUCCUGUGGCAGCCGACAACA